rnacentral:rRNA from 1 species
GAUGAACGCUGGCGGCGUGCCUAACACAUGCAAGUCGACCUUAGUGGGGACGGGUGAGUAACCCGUGGGUCACCUCCCAUCAGAGGGGGAUACCACUUGGAAACCGGUGCUAAACCGGAUACUUAUAGAUGGUUCCGUGUUGCAUUAGCUAGGGGGGACGGUAACGGCUUACCAAGGCAACGAUGCAUAGCAGACCUGAGAGGAUGAUCAGCCACACUGGAACGGAGACACGGUCCAGACUCCUACGGGAGGCAGCAGAAGGGAAUGGUCCGUAAGGGGCGAAAGCCUGACCGGACAAAGCCGCGUGAGGGAAGAAGGUCUGCGGAUAGGAAAAGUCUGUUAUUAUGGAAGCGGUACCAAAUCAAAAAGCAUCGGCUAACUCCGUGCCAGCAGCCGCGGUAAUUC